rnacentral:rRNA from 1 species
UACGAAGGGGGCUAGCGUUGCUCGGAAUCACUGGGCGUAAAGCGCACGUAGGCGGAUCUUUAAGUCAGAGGUGAAAUCCCGGAGCUCAACUCCGGAACUGCCUUUGAUACUGAGGACCUUGAGUCCGGGAGAGGUGAGUGGAACUGCGAGUGUAGAGGUGAAAUUCGUAGAUAUUCGCAAGAACACCAGUGGCGAAGGCGGCUCACUGGCCCGGUACUGACGCUGAGGCACGAAAGCGUGGGGAGCAAACAGG